rnacentral:sRNA from 1 species
AUUUUAGUUGCUUCACUGAUAUGGAAUCGGCGAGGCGCCAAGGAGGCUUCCUGCGUGGGGCCGCAGAGCGAGUCGGGAAACGAUUUUAAACUGAAGAGGCGGCGGAGGGCCGAAUUCCCUUUUCUCAACGGCUUGAUUUCAGAGCUGGGCUGGUCUCUGACAGGCUCAGCUGGAGAGGGACGGGUUGGGACGCACUGUCCUUUUGCCCUUCCCCCUCCGCGAGCAGAAGCUGACUCCGCAGGAGCGAGGGUCGCAGAGCUGGGGGAUUUCAGUCUCCACAUAGUUUUGGAGCCGGACUUUUGAAGAAUGAUUCAUGAAUCCGGAAUGGGUGACAGCGUCAUCACGGCAUUUUAUUGGUAAAGAUGCUUUGUAUUGGUCCCGGACCUGCUUUAACUUUGUAUUUGCCCUGUUGUGUGGUCAUUAUCUUACAAUACUUGCGUGUUGAGGUGUGUUUAAACACUACGUACUUAACACCGGCUAAGUAUUGGCAUUGGGGCGGUUGGAUUUAGGUAUUGGUGGCAAUGUAGAAAAGUGAUCAAGUCAGAGCCCCUUCACGGACUAACCACAGGAGAAACAACAAAGCUUUACUUGUGUGCUGUGAACCACAACUGCAAGUGGAAUUGUCAAGAGAACUAGCCCUGCCAAGCUCUGGAAAACUUCUGAGGAGAUGGCACAUGGAAAAUGGAUAAGAUUUUUGAGACAAACGGGAGUAGAGAAGUGUUUUUAAUUGGCGAUAAGGUGAAUAAAAAGGCAGGGAGAACAGUAGAGUGAUCAUCUGUUUAGAGUAGGGGGUGCAUGUUUGGGUAUAGGGCUGUCAUUUAACCUCUUAAAGAAUUGUCUACUGGAACUUUCUUCACUCUCAUCCCUCCACCCCCCAAUGUUGUAUACAAAACCUUAGAGGAAGUGUAUGCAGAAUGUUGGAUUUUGGAAAGGCUAAUGUCGAUGGAUCUUGGGGAAGAACUGAAGUAGUAGAAAAUGAACCUGGAUAGGAUCAGAUAAUAAGAUCAAAUACAGUAGUGCCUUGAAAGCCAGACAGGAAUUCUGAUUUGACUUCAUAUAGAUGUGUGGGAACUGUUAUGGGAUCUCAAGCAAGGUAAUGAUAAAAGUGGUGACAAUGAAAGACUGAUGAUGGAUUAGGGAAAGGGGCUAAGAUUGGGAACAAGAUAAGUAGCUACAAUUGAGAAUGAAAGUGAAGCCCACAUCUAAGAGGACAAGUGUCUAUCUUUUUAAGAAAUAUGUCAGAGGCCAGGUGUGGUGGCUUAUGCCUGUAAUCCAGCACUUUGGGAGGCCAAGGCAGGCAGAUCACCUGAGGUCAGGAGUUCAAGACCAGCCUGGCCAACAUGGAGAAACCCCAUCUCUACCAAAAAAUACAAAAAUUAGCCAGGCGUGUUGGUGCAUACCUGUAGUCCCAGCUACUGGGGAGGCUGAGGCAGGAGAAUCACUUGAACCUGGGAGGUGGAGGUUGCAGUGAGCCAAGAUUGCACCACUGCACUCCAGCCUGGGAGACAGAGUGAGACUCUGUCUUCAAAAAAGAAAUAUGUCAGAAUUUGAUGAUAAAGUUAACAAAGUUAACUUUUUAGAUGUAAAGGUGAUGUUGAAGGAAGAGUAAAAGAUGAUGAAAGUUUUUUUAGUGGGGAAAGAAAAUGAAAAGGAAGAAUGGAAUUAUUACUGAGCAAAACAGAGUACAGUAGUUGGCAAAGAAAGAUUGAAUAAGAUGUGAAGCGAUGAUUAGUUUUGAACUUAAUGAGUUUGACGGAGGUUGGAAAUGCAGGACUGGGUUGCAGCUGUAAUGGUCUGAAGAUAGAGAUUUAGGAGUCAUAUAGAAUGAUUAUUUUCCUAUGUAGAAUGAAUGAUUUUCAGAAUCUGGGGCCACCUACUAUUGGAACAUGAGGAAAAAAAAAGAAUCAGUAAAUAAAUUGGAACUAUAAAAAGUAAGGAGGAGAAAAGCCCCUAAAAAAUCGAAUGUCAGAGGAAACAAGGUCCCAGAAAGUUUAGAGGAGUAAGGAUGAACAAACUUGAUUGGAACAAAGUAUUUGGCCAUGGUUUUGGCAAAAACAAUGAUCUUCGAAAGUGCAGUUUCUUUGUAGUGAUAGAUGGAAGAAAGAGAUUGCUGAAGAUUUCUAGUAAAAUAUUUAUUAGUAACUGGAGGCAAUAGGUGUAGACCACGUUUCCAGGAGAUUGGUCUCAGAAAGAAUGAGAUGAAUUGGAUUUAAACACAAAUUUUUAAUGUUAGAAAUACUAGAAUAUGCUUGGCAGUGAAAGAAAAGGAUCCUGUAUAGGAGUGAUUAAAGAUGAUAGAGAUGUGAAGUACAGCCUGGUGUGGUGGUGCACGCUUGUAGUCCCAGCUACUCGAGAGGCUGAGGUGGGAGGAUCGCCUGAGCCCAGCAGGUGGAGGCUGCAGUGAUAUCAGGCCACUGCACUCCAGCCUGGACAACAGAGUGAGACCCUGUCUCAAAAAAAAAAAAAAAAAAAAAAAA